UCCCCACAUUGGCAGCAGAUAAUACUAAACUUGAAAUGAUACAGUGAAGAUUAGCAUGGACCCUGCACAAGGACAACAUGCAAAAUUCAUGAAGCAUUCCAUGUUUUU